rnacentral:rRNA from 1 species
UACGUAGGUGGCAAGCGUUGUCCGGAUUUAUUGGGUUUAAAGGGUGCGUAGGCGGCCCUGUAAGUCAGUGGUGAAAUACUCUAGCUUAACUAGAGGGGUGCCAUUGAUACUGCAGGGCUUGAGUACAGAUGAGGUAGGCGGAAUUGACGGUGUAGCGGUGAAAUGCAUAGAUAUCGUCAAGAACACCUAUAGCGAAGGCAGCUUACUAAGCUGUAACUGACGCUGAGGCACGAAAGUGUGGGGAUCAAACAGG